UACGAAGGGGGCGAGCGUUGCUCGGAAUGACUGGGCUUAAAGGGCGCGUAGGCGGACCUCGCAGUCGGGGGUGAAAUCCCCGGGCUUAACUCUGGACGUGCGCCUGAGACGCGUGGUCUGGAGUGGGGGAGAGGGUCGCGGAAUUCCCAGUGUAGAGGUGAAAUUCGUAGAUAUUGGGAAGAACACCGGUGGCGAAGGCGGCGACCUGGCCCUCGACUGACGCUGAGGCGCGAAAGCGUGGGGAGCAAACAGG
rnacentral:rRNA from 1 species